rnacentral:rRNA from 1 species
UGGGGAAUUUUGGACAAUGGGCGAAAGCCUGAUCCAGCAAUGCCGCGUGAGUGAAGAAGGCCUUCGGGUUGUAAAGCUCUUUUGUCAGGGAAGAAACGGUGAAAGCUAAUAUCUUUUUCUAAUGACGGUACCUGAAGAAUAAGCACCGGCUAACUACGUGCCAGCAGCCGCGGUAAUACGUAGGGUGCAAGCGUUAAUCGGAAUUACUGGGCGUAAAGCGUGCGCAGGCGGUUUUGUAAGUCUGAUGUGAAAUCCCCGGGCUCAACCUGGGAAUUGCAUUGGAGACUGCAAGGCUAGAAUCUGGCAGAGGGGGGUAGAAUUCCACGUGUAGCAGUGAAAUGCGUAGAUAUGUGGAGGAACACCGAUGGCGAAGGCAGCCCCCUGGGUCAAGAUUGACGCU